rnacentral:rRNA from 1 species
UACGAAGGGGGCGAGCGUUGCUCGGAAUCACUGGGCGUAAAGGGCGCGUAGGCGGCGUUUUAAGUCGGGGGUGGAAGCCUGUGGCUCAACCACAGAAUGGCCUUCGAUACUGGGACGCUUGAGUAUGGUAGAGGUUGGUGGAACUGCGAGUGUAGAGGUGAAAUUCGUAGAUAUUCGCAAGAACACCGGUGGCGAAGGCGGCCAACUGGACCAUUACUGACGCUGAGGCGCGAAAGCGUGGGGAGCAAACAGG